UAUAAAGAAUAGGCCCUCACUCACUCAAAACAGACAAUCAUCAGAAUUAGGCAAUUUUAAAAAGGCAUUUUUGAAACACUAAGGAAUUCUGGAAAAAAGUUUGAUUUUCAUACUGAUUUUUCUUCCUUUUUCUGAGUUUUCCUAGUGAAUCUGAAAACAGAAAUAGCUCCAUGGUUUUCUAGUUCAUGAUCCCUGCCAUUUAAAGUUGGUUUUAGUCAAAAUUCUGGGGUUUUGUUGCUGUUCUAAUUGUUGCUGUUGUUUCUGUUCAUCAUUCUGGGAUUCAAGCUGUCAUCCUAUCUUCUGCUGCUGACCUGUUGUGAGCAAAUUUAGUAGUUGAUUUCUUUGAUCUUUAUUUGGCAAAGGCUCAGAUUCAUUUUCGAGCUUAGGUUUUGCCUGAAUGAUGGCUAAGCUAUGUCUAGUGUUGAAGCAUACAUGGCCGUUGUUUUAGGUUUAUUGUCAAUGCUAAUAGUUUAGUAGUUACCUUCAUCAAUAAGUUGAUUUUGAGAGCAUUUGAUUGUUGUCAAAAUUAAAAUGGCCACUGAUAUUUUUUUUCUAAGCCAUGAUUAAUUGGGUUUGAUAUUAAGGUUGUAUUUAAUUAUUUUGUAAGAAUUUUCUUUUAACAAUUGCUAGACAUAGCAUAGUUAUUAGAGUGUUCUUUCAGAGUCCAUAGAAUUUGGACUCGACCUUAAGUAACUCCAAUGGGCUUUGUUACAGUGAUGCAGGAAAGCCCAUUUAGCUGGUCUAUUUGGUUGCAAUUCUGGACUCAGAUAAGCGUGUCUGUAGUUUUAAAAUAGUUUGUGUUUGUUCUUUUCUUUACAUUAAUAUACGAGAAGAAGGUGGUUUGUUCCUCACAAACAUCAAGCAAUCUUGUAACUUCCCUGUGAAUCAAAGUUACACGAAUACAGGUUUCCCCACUUCAAAUGG